CCUACGGGUGGCAGCAGUGGGGAAUAUUGGGCAAUGGAGGCAACUCUGACCCAGCAACGCCGCGUGCAUGAUGAAGGUCUUCGGCUUGUAAAGUUCUGUGAUGGGGGAUGAACACAAUGACGGUACCCCAAUAGCAAGCCACGGCUAACUACGUGCCAGCAGCCGCGGUAAUACGUAGGUGGCAAGCGUUAUCCGGACUGACUGGGCGUAACGGGUGCGUAGGUGGUUUAGUAAGUUGGCGGUGUAAUUCCGGGGCUCAACUUCGGCGCUACCGCCAAAACUAUUAGACUAGAGGGUAGGAGUGGUAAGUGUAAUUCCUAGGGGAGCGGUGGAAUGCGUAGAUAUGAGGAGGAACAUCAGGGGCGAAGGCGACUUACUGGACUGGAACUGACACUGAGGCACGAAAGCGUGGGGAGCAAACAGGAUUAGAUACCCCUGUAGUC
rnacentral:rRNA from 1 species